AUACGGAAGGGGCAAGCGUUAUCCGGAAUGAUUGGGCGUAAAGCGUCUGUAGGUGGCUUUUUAAGUCCGCCGUCAAAUCCCAGGGCUCAACCCUGGACAGGCGGUGGAAACUACCAAGCUUGAGUACGUUAGGGGCAGAGGGAAUUUCCGGUGGAGCGGUGAAAUGCGUAGAGAUCGGAAAGAACACCAACGGCGAAAGCACUCUGCUGGGCCGACACUGACACUGAGAGACGAAAGCUAGGGGAGCGAAUGGAAUUAGAAACCCCAGUAGUCC
rnacentral:rRNA from 1 species